AUGAUUACAAUUCUGCCCAAAGUAAUAGACAUAUCACAACUUCUUCAAAUAAUGAUCCUCACAUUAAUGAUCCUUCGCUAAUCCUAUGAUCAAAUUUUUUGUGUACUAAUAUGAGUGGUGUUGAGUGGAUAAUUACUUGUAUGAGUAGCUUUUUCACUUUGUUUGGUUCAGAAUGCAGUAGAAAUAAUGGUGGGAGCGGAAAGGAACCAACCUGAUAAAGAUAACAUAUAACAAAAUGAGUCCAAGCUUGAGUUUCUUUUGAUGGAGAAAAAGAUGCAGAAAAAGAUGCCUCUAGAAGUGUUGGGGUGCAAAUUAAAGGUAAGAUUUGACGAUAUUUUUGCUAAAUUGGUAUGCUUAAGUUGCUAUAGAUAUUAAUGAUGUGCUACACAUGUUAGAUGCAGGUAGAGUUGUUCAUGAGCUCAGCCGAACUGCCGAACGGACCUUUGCUCAUGCUUGGCUCGUUUACAAACCGAACCGA
rnacentral:lncRNA from 1 species